rnacentral:rRNA from 1 species
AAUCAGCCAUGUUGCGGUGAAUACGUUCCCGGGUCUUGUACUCACCGCCCGUCACACCAUGGGAGUUGUGUUUGCCUUAAGUCAGGAUGCUAAAUUGGCUACUGCCCACGGCACACACAGCGACUGGGGUGAAGUCGUAACAAGGUAACCGUAGGUGAACCUGCGGUUGGAUCACCUCCUUUCUAGA